rnacentral:rRNA from 1 species
CACGGGGGGUGCAAGCGUUGUUCGGAAUCACUGGGCGUAAAGGGCGUGUAGGCGGUCAGGUAAGUGGGAUGUGAAAUGCCCCGGCUCACCCGGGGACCGGCAUCCCAUACUGCUUGGCUUGAGUACGGGAGAGGAUGUGGGAAUUCCUGGUGUAGCGGUGAAAUGCGUAGAUAUCAGGAGGAACACCGGUGGCGAAGGCGCACAUCUGGCCCGAUACUGACGCUGAGGCGCGAAAGCUAGGGGAGCAAACGGG